rnacentral:lncRNA from 1 species
AGAAUGUACUCUAAUACAAUAUAAAUUCCUCACACAUAAGGUCUAAAAUUCGGAAGAAAGUUCAUACAACAUUCUGAAAUGCCACCAAUUAGAAUUCAAGAUGAAAUGCACCCAAUUCAUUUCAUCAUUUUCCUUUUACAAAACCAAAGUAGAUAUAGAGGCAUACCUGAAUAGCAGCACAACAAUAGCUAGCACCAUCAUAGAUGAGGAGUUGCCAACAGCAAGGAAAACAGGAAGUGUUGUUGCACAAGGAGAUAAUGCUGGUACAAGAAUAAGUCCAGCCACAGCCAGCUUCUCCAUGGGAUGGUUGUGGGAGUGACUGUGGCCUCCCUUACCAAAUAAGAAUAACAGAACGUAACUUCCUCCAAGAAUUAUGAGAAACAAGGAUGCAAGUCUAUGCACUGUUUCCUCACCAGCAAUUGUGGUGGCCAUGGUAAUUGCAGCUGCUGGGGGAAAAAAUAGACCACCCCACACAUACAAUUAAGGCACCCAGAUCCGAGCACAAGGGCGCCGAGCUCAUAGGCCGAGCCGAGCUCAGAAGGCUAAGGCCCAGAAGGCCGAGCACAGAAGCUGCCGAGCUCAUAGGCCGAGCCGAUCUCAGAAGGCUGCCGAGCACAUCCAGGCAGCCGAGCUCAGAAGGCUAAGGCCCAGAAGGCC